rnacentral:rRNA from 1 species
AGUGAACGCUGGCGGUAGGCCUAACACAUGCAAGUCGAACGGCAGCACAGGAGAGCUUGCUCUCUGGGUGGCGAGUGGCGGACGGGUGAGGAAUACAUCGGAAUCUACUCUGUCGUGGGGGAUAACGUAGGGAAACUUACGCUAAUACCGCAUACGACCUACGGGUGAAAGCAGGGGACCUUCGGGCCUUGCGCGAUUGAAUGAGCCGAUGUCGGAUUAGCUAGUUGGCGGGGUAAAGGCCCACCAAGGCGACGAUCCGUAGCUGGUCUGAGAGGAUGAGCAGCCACGCUGGAACGGAGACACGGUCCAGACUCCUACGGGAGGCAGCAGUGGGGAAUAGUGGACAAUGGGCGCAAGCCUGAUCCAGCCAUACCGCGUGGGUGAAGAAGGCCUUCGGGUUGUAAAGCCCUUUUGUUGGGAUAGAAAUCCAGCUGGCUAAUACCCGGUUGGGAUGACGGUACCCAAAGAAUAAGCACCGGCUAACUUCGUGCCAGCCGCCGCCGUAA